rnacentral:lncRNA from 1 species
GUCACUGGGAGAUCUGCUUGUCUGGGGAUAGGGCAGGGCACGAAGAGCCCCCACCCCCGGGUCCUGUGCCCUGAGAGAAGGUCUGCCAUCCAUACUGAAAUGAAAGCAGCUCACAGCGCAGCGUGGUCAGGAAAAGUGGAGGAGAAGGAAACAUGCUUCAAGGGCCCCACUCCCGUGAAGUUCCCCUGGAGACUAUAUAGGACCUUCACUGCUCAACCGGCCUAGGAAGGCUCUUUCCACAAGGCAGUGCUUCCCUGUGGCUGCUUCGAGUGUACCUGAAGUUCAGUUCCAGCAUUGAAGACACAAGCGACAGCGUGUUUGAAAUGAGUUGAUACAUUUAAUAACGUUAAUUCUGGACCUUCCAGGUCAGAGCUUGGCCACAAUGCCAAGUUUGGGCAGCAGCUCCCCACUCUCUACCCAUCUCUGGACAGAGGAGCUCAGUCGAAUGUGAAUUCAGUUGAGUUCCAUGAGGAGGCAGUUAAUCACUUAGCCAUGAUUUCAUGAUGCAGGGUCAAUCAAGUCCAGAAUCUUGUCUCUGUACCAUACUGUUCAGAGGAAGGUGGAAG